CCAAUGAUGUAACAUGAACACAAAUUAUCUUGGACCACAGAAGUCUUGACAUCUGGGGUAGUGUGGUAAAUAAGAUGGAAAUAGUGUGAACAUGUGAGCACUUUGCUUCCCACCUAGGUCUAAUAUAAACCUUUGUUAUGAACGAAUACUUCAAUUUAUUUCUAUCGUCAUCUAGGUGAAAUUAAUAACAAAUUCAAGACUACUGCCGAGUGAGACAUUCCCCUUGGACUGGUAUAACAAAUCCAGAAAGCAAGACACUUAGUGCUGGAAAGUUACAGCAGCUCCCUGCUGCAUGUCCAGAGUAUCCGAGGGUUGUGAAGUCGGAGCACAAAGGGACAGUCCCCAGUGCACAGCAGUGUUUGGCAGCUACCACGGCCAGGUCAGGGGGGCACAAGCAUCUGCUGCUGAUGGUAACCAGAACACUUCCUGCCACAUAGCGAGAUAAUGGGAAGCAUGCUGGAACUCAGGGAAACCACAGGAAGCUUGCAGGUUCCAGUUAGCUGAGACGUGAAUCGGGAUUCAGCUACCAGCUAACCUUGGAGACUUCCUCUUACAGCUGAACAGUAAGGAAGGACAUUCUGUUUGUGCUGAUGAUGUGCGUGAGGUGGAAAAGACAGUUGUAUUUUAGCAUUACUAUUUGCAUAAUGAUGUGCAGAGGAAGAUCACACAACUAUGGCAAUGCUGGUGCAUAUUUUUUAGCAUUUUGAUUCAGUAUUAUACCUUGAUUAAAUUAAAUUGAACCACAGCACAGAAGAAGAAGUAAAAGCAUCUAUAAUAAGCUCCAUUGUGGAGGCGUACUAGCAACUGCUGCACAGGGGAUGCUGCUUUCAGCCAAGGUCAAGUCAGUGACACUGAUUGCCAGUGACUGCUUUCUGCCCAAGGCAUCACAGACUCCCAUGGUGUCCAGGACUCCAGCUUUUCUUCCAGGACUUGGGGGAGCACAUGAGCCAGUGGACUUGGAGCAUUGUGUGGCAGAAAGGAAAUACAGCAGCAUUCAGUGACAGGUAUUCAAAAUGAAAAGUCUGUUUCAAAAAAAAUGCUUGUUGUUGUUGUGCUUAAACAUCAGGUGAGGCCCACAGGAGGCAGGGGCUGGUGUGGGGCUGCAGUGACAGCACACGAGGAACCAGAGUGAUGGCACAGCCACACUCAGCUGGUUAUCACAGGGGCUGUAGAUCACAGAAUCUUAUGGUCUGGAAGGGAUCUUAAAGAUUCCCUAGUUCCAACCCCUUUGCAUUCCACUGGAGCAGGUUGUUCAAAGCUUCAUCCAACCUGGCAGUGAAUACUUCCAGGAAUGGGGCAUCCACAACUUCUCUGCACAACCUGUUCCAUCUGAGCAAAGAACUGUCUCACCUCCAUCUGAGCAAAGAACUUCCUCCUGAUACCUAAUUUAAACC